GGAAUCUUCCGCAAUGGACGAAAGUCUGACGGAGCAACGCCGCGUGAGUGAUGAAGGUCUUCGGAUCGUAAAACUCUGUUGUUAGGGAAGAACAAGUCGGGUAGUAACUGACCCGGCCUUGACGGUACCUAACCAGAAAGCCCCGGCUAACUACGUGCCAGCAGCCGCGGUAAUACGUAGGGGGCAAGCGUUGUCCGGAAUUAUUGGGCGUAAAGCGCUCGCAGGCGGUCCUUUAAGUCUGAUGUGAAAUCUCGCGGCUCAACCGCGAACGGUCAUUGGAAACUGGAGGACUUGAGUACAGAAGAGGAGAGUGGAAUUCCACGUGUAGCGGUGAAAUGCGUAGAGAUGUGGAGGAACACCAGUGGCGAAGGCGACUCUCUGGUCUGUAACUGACGCUGAGGAGCGAAAGCGUGGGGAGCGAACAGGAUUAGAUACCCUGGUAGUCCACGCCGUAAACGAUGAGUGCUAGGUGUUAGGGGGUUUCCGCCCCUUAGUGCUGAAGUUAACGCAUUAAGCACUCCGCCUGGGGAGUACGGCCGCAAGGCUGAAACUCAAAAGAAUUGACGGGGGCCCGCACAAGCGGUGGAGCAUGUGGUUUAAUUCGAAGCAACGCGAAGAACCUUACCAGGUCUUGACAUCCUCUGCUAUUCCUAGAGAUAGGAAGUUCCCUUCGGGGACAGAGUGACAGGUGGUGCAUGGUUGUCGUCAGCUCGUGUCGUGAGAUGUUGGGUUAAGUCCCGCAACGAGCGCAACCCUUGAUCUUAGUUGCCAGCAUUUAGUUGGGCACUCUAAGGUGACUGCCGGUGACAAACCGGAGGAAGGUGGGGAUGACGUCAAAUCAUCAUGCCCCUUAUGACCUGGGCUACACACGUGCUACAAUGGAUGGAACAAAGGGAAGCAAAACCGCGAGGUCAAGCAAAUCCCAUAAAACCAUUCUCAGUUCGGAUUGCAGGCUGCAACUCGCCUGCAUGAAGCCGGAAUCGCUAGUAAUCGCGGAUCAGCAU
rnacentral:rRNA from 1 species